rnacentral:rRNA from 1 species
UACGUAGGGUGCGAGCGUUGUCCGGGAUUAUUGGGCGUAAAGAGCUCGUAGGCGGUCUGUCGCGUCGGGAGUGAAAACUCAGGGCUUAACCCUGAGCCUGCUUCCGAUACGGGCAGACUAGAGGUAUGCAGGGGAGAACGGAAUUCCUGGUGUAGCGGUGAAAUGCGCAGAUAUCGAGGAGGAACACCGGUGGCGAAGGCGGUUCUCCGUGGG